UACGUAGGUGGCAAGCGUUAUCCGGAUUUACUGGGUGUAAAGGGCGUGUAGGCGGGACUGCAAGUCAGAUGUGAAAACCACGGGCUCAACCCGUGGCCUGCAUUUGAAACUGUAGUUCUUGAGUACUGGAGAGGCAGACGGAAUUCCUAGUGUAGCGGUGAGAUGCGUAGAUAUUAGGAGGAACACCAGUGGCGAAGGCGGUCUGCUGGACAGCAACUGACGCUGAGGCGCGAAAGCGUGGGGAGCAAACAGG
rnacentral:rRNA from 1 species